UACGUAGGGUGCAAGCGUUGUCCGGAAUUAUUGGGCGUAAAGAGCUCGUAGGCGGUCUGUCGCGUCGGAUGUGAAAACCCAGGGCUCAACCCUGGGCCUGCAUUCGAUACGGGCAGACUAGAGUUCGGUAGGGGAGACUGGAAUUCCUGGUGUAGCGGUGAAAUGCGCAGAUAUCAGGAGGAACACCGGUGGCGAAGGCGGCAUCCUGGACCAACACUGACGCUGAGGAGCGAAAGCGUGGGGAGCAAACAGG
rnacentral:rRNA from 1 species